rnacentral:rRNA from 1 species
CAGAACGAACGCUGGCGGCAGGCCUAAACCAUGCAAGUUGAACGGCCAUAGCAAUAUGGCAGUAGCGCAAGGGUGAGUAAUGUAUGGGAACGUAUCUUUUUGGUGGGGAAUAUUCUUUGGAAACGAAGAGCAAUACCGCAUAAGCCCUACGGGGGAAAGAUUUAUCGCCGAUUGAGCGGCCCAUAUUGGAUUAGCUAGUUGGUUGGGUAAUGGCCGACCAAGGCUGUGAUCCAUAGCUGGUCUGAGAGGACGAUCAGCCACACUGGGACUGAGACACGGCCCAGACUCCUACGGGAGGCAGCAGGUAGGAAUAUUGGACAAUGGGGGCAACCCUGAAUCCAGCCAUGCCGCGUGAGUGUUAAGGCCUUCGGGUUGUAAAGCUCUUUUGUAUGGGAAAAUGAUGAUGGUACCAUAAGAAUAAGCACCGGCUAACUUCGUGCCAGCCGCCGC